CCCCCCAUUUUUUUUCCCAUAACCGGCUUGCUAGCCAGCAGCCAAUGCCUCGACAUGAGACCUCAGACAACUUCAAAGAUGGCAGAGAUCAGCCCAAACCAGUAGCCGGUGAUGGUAAACAAGGCCAAAAUAGAGCACCCCUACUCGCUUGUAUUCUGAUGACUUGUUGACUCCAAUCAAGGGCAAACGAUAGCUUGAGA
rnacentral:lncRNA from 1 species